CCUACGGGAGGCAGCAGUGGGGAAUUUUGGACAAUGGGCGCAAGCCUGAUCCAGCCAUGCCGCGUGCAGGAUGAAGGCCUUCGGGUUGUAAACUGCUUUUGUACGGAACGAAAAGGUUUGGCCUAAUAAGUUGAACUCAUGACGGUACCGUAAGAAUAAGCACCGGCUAACUACGUGCCAGCAGCCGCGGUAAUACGUAGGGUGCGAGCGUUAAUCGGAAUUACUGGGCGUAAAGCGUGCGCAGGCGGUUAUGUAAGACAGAUGUGAAAUCCCCGGGCUCAACCUGGGAACUGCAUUAGUGACUGCAUAGCUGGAGUACGGCAGAGGGGGAUGGAAUUCCGCGUGUAGCAGUGAAAUGCGUAGAUAUGCGGAGGAACACCGAUGGCGAAGGCAAUCCCCUGGGCCUGUACUGACGCUCAUGCACGAAAGCGUGGGGAGCAAACAGGAUUAGAUACCCUGGUAGUCCACGCCCUAAACGAUGUCAACUGGUUGUUGGGUCUUCACUGACUCAGUAACGAAGCUAACGCGUGAAGUUGACCGCCUGGGGAGUACGGCCGCAAGGUUGAAACGUCAAAUGAAUUGACGG
rnacentral:rRNA from 1 species